GAUUUUCGACUCGUUGUUGUUGGUGGAUUCUUUCCGAUGAGCCAAGAAGGAAUACAUGCAUUUAUCAGCGCCAAGGAAGCGGUACAUGCACACGAUGGCGUCGAAUGGCAAAAUCCUGCAACAGACAGAUGAGCAGCAGAUGUAUUUUCUGUUACGAACAUCACGUGUCACUGCAGACGAUACUCACGUUUUCAUGAAGGUGACCGCAUACAUGGCACGUGGCGUGCAGACCAUCGGCUGAUCCGUCAGAAUGGCUCUCAUGGCUCUCUCCACACAGUGCUCCGGGUUCAGCGGUGGGAAAAAUGGUGCAAUCUCCUUCCUGUGCAGAAGAACCGAAUAUAAACAACUGCAUACAACACAGGAUGAGAGAUGAAGAUAAAGACUUCUACUACUGACCCAGAAGUGAGCAUGGCAGUUGACCAUCAUGGUCCUCUCGAUCAGUUCAUCAGGACACUCCAGGAGGUGAUGUCCUGACACCACCCCGGCGUUGUUGACG